rnacentral:rRNA from 1 species
GACGAACGCUGGCGGCGUGCUUAACACAUGCAAGUCGAACGGUGAAGCUCCAGCUUGCUGGAGUGGAUCAGUGGCGAACGGGUGAGUAACACGUGAGCAACCUGCCCCUGACUCUGGAAUAAGCGCUGGAAACGGCGUCUAAUACUGGAUACGAGAAGGGUCCGCAUGGGCACUUUCUGGAAAGUUUUUCGGUUGGGGCUGGGCUCGCGGCCUAUCAGCUUGUUGGUGAGGUAAUGGCUCACCAAGGCGACGACGGGUAGCCGGCCUGAGAGGGCGACCGGCCACACUGGGACUGAGACACGGCCCAGACUCCUACGGGAGGCAGCAGUGGGGAAUAUUGCACAAUGGGCGAAAGCCUGAUGCAGCGACGCCGCGUGAGGGAUGACGGCCUUCGGGUUGUAAACCUCUUUCAGCAGGGAAGAAGCGAAAGUGACGGUACCUGCAGAAGAAGCACCGGCUAACUACGUG